AGCGAACGCUGGCGGCAGGCUUAACACAUGCAAGUCGAGCGGGCACUGUCGGGUGUCAGCGGCGGACGGGGGAGUAACGCGUUGGAACGUGCCCUCGUGUUCGGACUAACUCAGGGAGACUUGAGCUAAUACCGGAUACGCCCUUUUGGGGAAAGGCUUGCUUCCGGGGGAUCGGGCCGCGACUACUUACCUAGUUGGUGAGGUAACGGCUCACCCAGGCUAGGAUGAGUAGCUGGUCUGAGAGGAGGAUCAGCCACACUGGGACUGAGGCAGGACCCAUACUGCAACGGGAGGAAGGGAUGGGAGUCUGAGGCCGCCAGGCCGCAGGCAGAACCAGGGCUGUCGGGAGAGUGAUGAACGCUUUAGGUUUGUAAAGCCCUUUUAUCCGGGACGAUAUGGCGGUAACUGGAGGAAUAAGACCCGCUGACUUCGGG
rnacentral:rRNA from 1 species